rnacentral:rRNA from 1 species
GACGAACGCUGGCGGCGUGCUUAACACAUGCAAGUCGAACGGGAAGGCCCUGCUUUUGUGGGGUGCUCGAGUGGCGAACGGGUGAGUAACACGUGAGUAACCUGCCCUUGACUUUGGGAUAACUUCAGGAAACUGGGGCUAAUACCGGAUAGGAGCUCCUGCUGCAUGGUGGGGGUUGGAAAGUUUCGGCGGUUGGGGAUGGACUCGCGGCUUAUCAGCUUGUUGGUGGGGUAGUGGCUUACCAAGGCUUUGACGGGUAGCCGGCCUGAGAGGGUGACCGGCCACAUUGGGACUGAGAUACGGCCCAGACUCCUACGGGAGGCAGCAGUGGGGAAUAUUGCACAAUGGGCGGAAGCCUGAUGCAGCAACGCCGCGUGCGGGAUGACGGCCUUCGGGUUGUAAACCGCUUUCGCCUGUGACGAAGCGUGAGUGACGGUAAUGGGUAAAGAAGCGCCGGCUAACUACGUG